UCGGCGAUGGUGUAGCGGGUAAACAUAUUGUACUCAUAAUGCAAAGCCGGACGUUCGAGCCGUCCUCGCCGGC